rnacentral:lncRNA from 7 species
CAAACCGUGCUGCUGUGGGGUAUGGCAUUGCUGUGGUCUCACUGUGGGAAUCAGAACCUUUGGGGAAGCUUGGGAGUUUACAGCAGGAAACCUACGAUGGGACAUUGCAGAACUGCCCGUGUGUUUCCCAGUGAUGCAUGCAGACCAUGAGGCUGGGACUUGAUUUCAGGCUCCGGAUCUGCUCCUGCUGUAUGGGGACAACUUAAUUUGUUCUCCAGGCUUUUAAUGAAUGCUAAUAAUGCUGCAGCCUACCCAUGAGUAAUUCUGUACAUCGGUUUUCUGCUGCCCUAGGAAUAAAUCAGAAUUGUGUUAUUUCCUUGAAAAAGUACUUUUGGGAGGCAGGAUCAGAGCAGCGUGUGUAUGGAAUAGUCAAAUAGAGUAUAAUACAGCACCCGUUGGGCAACUGGAGUCUGGCUGUAAAGCACUGAACCCCUUUAAUUUCCACUGACUGCAAGGGAAGGUGAUCUGUCAUCUGUCUGCUUGUGGGAGAGAACUGAUGGGAAAAGGUUGCUCUGCUGGUUUGAAAGACAGGGCUAGAAGCUGCUCUUUGUGAGGGAGCUGCUUUUUUCUGGUGUUCUCUAUGUGGUUUCCAUCACAUUUCUUGCUGUUGAUUGGUCACAGCUGGACAGUGCUACUUUUUGCCCAGACAGAAUUGACCUACGCUGCUUCUGUGCUGUUAGCUGGUGGAACAGCCUCUAACAAUACCUGUAUUAGUAGUUGGCUUCCAUAGAUUCUUCAAAGUCUUUAGUUUUGGGAUCGGUGUUGUCCCACCCAAGCCAAGGGCUUCAUUUUGCCUAUAUCCCCUCUGGGUGGCCUGAACUGUGGGUUCCAGAAGUGCUGUCUUUGGAGCACACCCAUCAACUGCCAUCAGCAGUGCAUACUGGUAUCUAGACCAGCAGACUACAAGCACCAUUUUCUUGUUUUCUUGGUUUUCACCUUUGCAUAAAUACACUGAAACUUAAUGGCAAUAAGGAAAUUUAAAAAAAAAAAGUCAAAAGGAAAAUUAAUUUAAGCUGCACGGAAUUGAUGGAAAAUCUCUUGCUGAGGUGCUGUAAGGCUCCAUUUUAAUGGGUUGCUCCUUACACUUGGACAAGCUUUUAUACCCUCACAGUUCUGAUUUUAAAAGAAGGUAUCUGUGAGUCAUCUUAGACAGAAUUUACGUCUUGGUUAUUUAAACUACAAACCCUGAGCAAAUGCCAACUUGCUGUCACUGUGGAAGCAAUAUGUCAAAGUAGACGUUGUCACCAACUGUACAGAAUGAAAGACAACCUCAUGAAGAGGCAGUGCACCAUCCAUUGCAGAGCCUCAAGCAAAGUCCUGCCCCUCCAACAUACCACUGAGCUGGAAAACUUCAGGUGAGAUCCUGACAGCUUUUCUCGCCCUGUGGUUCUCCGGAAUGAUGUAAAGCCUGCAAUCCAUCCUGCCUGACGUAUCCUGGUGUUUGAUUAAACGUGUCCUGCAGCACUAUUUCAUGGCUCCUAUUGAUCACGCAGUGUAAACAGCUCUGUUUCCUCCUCUCUUCAGAAUAAGAUGCUGCGAUUAAGUUGCACUUCUGUCAAUGUAAGGAAGCGCUGGCGCUUACUCCUCGCAGUUUAAAGCAAGCAGGCUACAAAAGGCCCCUUGGGCACUCGAUAUCCUUCCCAAAUGGCUCUUGACAGGCAGGUUUGGCUAUGCCAAAUGCUAUUUAAGCACCUUUGUGUUAGUUCUGCUCUUCAGGCAUUCAGCUAUGGAGUGCCCUAUCCGCAUGGCAUGCUGUGUCUGUGCCCCAGAUCGUGCCCUCCCUCCUUCCUUUGUUUUUGCAGUCCUUACAGUUGAUGUGAUCAGUUCAAGCAGUAACUCAUAGGGUACAGAUCAAUCGCAGCGCUGAUAAAUGUCUAUCAUAAAAGAGUUGUUUAAUUUACCU